GAUGAACGCUGGCGGCGUGCUUAACACAUGCAAGUCGAACGAAGCAUUUAAGACAGAUUACUUCGGGUUGAAGAAUUUUAUGACUGAGUGGCGGACGGGUGAGUAACGCGUGGGUAACCUGCGCUAAACAGGGGGAUAGCAGCUGGAAACGGCUGGUAAUACCGCAUAAGCGCACAGUACCAGAUGGUAUAGUGGGAAAAGAUAUGGUGGUAUGAGAUGGACCCGCGUCGGAUUAGCUAGUUGGUAGGGUAACGGCCUACCAAGGCGACGAUCAGUAGCCGAUCUGAGAGGAUGACCAGCCACACUGGGACUGAGACACGGCCCAGACUCCUACGGGAGGCAGCAGUGGGGAAUAUUGGACAAUGGGCGAAAGUCUGAUCCAGCAAUGCCGCGUGAGUGAUGAAGGACUUAGGGUUGUAAAGCUCUUUUAGCAGGGAUGAUAAUGACAGUACCGGGAGAAUAAGCUCCGGCUAACUCCGUG
rnacentral:rRNA from 1 species